GUGGGGAAUAUUGGACAAUGGGCGAAAGCCUGAUCCAGCCAUGCCGCGUGUGUGAAGAAGGUCUUCGGAUUGUAAAGCACUUUAAGUUGGGAGGAAGGGCAGUAAGUUAAUACCUUGCUGUUUUGACGUUACCGACAGAAUAAGCACCGGCUAACUUCGUGCCAGCAGCCGCGGUAAUACGAAGGGUGCAAGCGUUAAUCGGAAUUACUGGGCGUAAAGCGCGCGUAGGUGGUUUUGUAAGUUGGAGGUGAAAUCCCCGGGCUCAACCUGGGAACUGCCUCCAAAACUGCAUGACUAGAGUACGGUAGGGGGUAGUGGAAUUUCCUGUGUAGCGGUGAAAUGCGUAGAUAUAGGAAGGAACACCAGUGGCGAAGGCGACUACCUGGACUGAUACUGACACUGAGGUGCGAAAGCGUGGGGAGCAAACAGGAUUAGAUACCCUAGUAGUCC
rnacentral:rRNA from 1 species